UUCUCUAAUUAUACUUUACUCUUUGUUCUGUGUAAAAUCAGUUCAUAGUAACUUCAUUCUUCAAAGCCCCUUCAUUUGCAAUGGGUUUUUCAGUUUUUAAUUUUGACAUGCACUGAUAUCCUAGAGUUGAAUCUUUCUUGUUCAUACUUCAUGGCGACCAGUCUUUCUAAUCAAGCUAAUCUAUGUGUAACUAUCUGGUUUCCUUUCCAAUCUGUUUUCUUAUUAAUAUCAUUGUUGGAUUUUACUCUUUUCAUUUAUUUUCCCCUCUUUUAUCCCUCCCACAUUCAGGGCUUUGAUCAUCGUUGAGAGAUGCAUUUUUCUGUUCAUUUCUAACCAUUAGGACAGGUGAGGAAGAGCAACCGAUUAACUCACAGUCGCAAUAGCUGAUUUCCUGUGUGGCAAGUAGAAAGUGGAACAUAAUUGUCUCUCUACAGGGAGAACAUUGGUGAAUUCUCAAUGAACAAAUGACUCGAUGGAGUUCUUUCAUUCUCAAGGCUUCAUAUAAGUGCAGUUUUUUACCAACUGCUAAACUUACUUUCUCUUCCACUCAAUGUCCAUCCCCUUGGUACUUCCCAGUCAAAAUACAGCAGAUUCGCCAAUGCCAACUGUAAACAGCCAUUCCCAUGUUGAUUCCAGGGCAAAUUCUUCUACCAGCCCGAACGGCAAUAGCUCGAAAUGUUGCCCCCUGAAAUCAAUCUGAUCAUCAACGAACCUUUCGGGAAUGAACUCUUCGGGGUUGUCCCAGAUAUCAGAAUCCCGCCCUAUUGCCCAAGCAUUCACUGCAAUUCUGGUCUUCGGGUAUAUAUCAUAAUCUCCGAUCCUUAUUUGGGACGCAGUUUCCCUUGGAAGAAGAAGUACAGUUGGAAGAUGUAAUCUGAAAGUUUCUUUAAUGAUCAUGUUGAGCUCUGUCAUGCCCAGAUCAUGGUAAUAGCACUUGUGUCGAUUCCAGCUACGAAUAUAUCCUGACGAAU